CUUAGUACCCGGAGUCGUCGGGCUUCGCGAAAGCUCCUCAUUUCCUUUUUGUCGACUUGGCCAUUCUUGGCGGAAAAUGAAGUACUUUGUGUCCUCGGCGCUGAAAUUCGUAGAAGUUUCAGGCAUUAUAGAAGAGCGUAAGCGCGCGACCAUUGUGUCGAUGGUUAUUUAUUUUCAUUCGAUUAUUAUUUAUUGUUAGACGGAAAGAGUGAUUCGCUAUCUGAGGCGGAAUUGGUUUUUCAGAGUGAACCCGUUUCGAAUUUCUGUGCGAGAGGAAAUAACGAGGCUGUUGUUGUGAUAAGUGAGUGGCGUGGAUGCAGGAGGACUUAAUCAAGUGAGUGUCUACAACCAAAUAAGCUCCUUGUAUAGUCGAAGUAUUUCUGGAUUAUACGGCUUUUCGUUGUGAGUCAAAUUUUAUGGAAGAGGUCGCAUAACGCGUUCGAAAAGGUAAUUGUCCACAACCAAGUCUACAGCUUGUAGAGUUUGAUUGACAACUUUGCGUCCUGGAUUUUUUGAAUUUUGAGUCCUUGAAGCUUUCCGAUGUACCCUACUUAUAGAGCAAAGGACAUGAAGAAAUACCAAUUACAGCUGCCUUCAAUUUUGUUCCAUUCGUUGAACAACGAGGAAAAUUCAAGAUAAGCUUGACAUUCCUGAGAUGAUCUCUACAGCAGAUGUUUUUCUGAAUCUUACUAGAGGCUUAUAACUUAUAUUUUGAUAAAAAAGAAUUCGGAAUCAGUAAUUCAAAAACUCAAUUUGUUUCUUAUGUGUAUUCAGGUAUGGUAAAGGGUUAUCUAAGGAUAGCACAUAUCCCAAGAGAGGAAAGUUAAAGGCAAAUCUCAUAUGUUAAACAAAGAAAGAAUUCUAGAAAAAUUCCCCCCUUGAACUCUCUAAACCGCGACCAAUUGAAAUGAAAGCGUCAAGCUGGCGCUCGAAUGUCGACUGUCGAGUCGAGGUCGAGACGUGGAGAGAUAAGGGGAGAAAUGGUGGGAUAGGGGCGAAAUAUUUGUUCUCUUUAUUUCGCGCCUGGUUUUGUUCAUAUAUCUCUGUUCGACUCAUUGAUUUGCUACCCCUAGACGAUUUCUGCCGAACCUGUAUUUACUAGGCAAAUUAAAAAUCGUUUUAAAAAAACAGUUCUAGAUAGAAAAGCUAUAUAUAUUUAUGUUUCUCGAUUAUAAUUUUAUCUUGAUUAUAGUAGUGAAAUUUUUUCGAUAAGAAUUAACAAUCAAUAUCUUCCAAAUAGAGAAUCAAGUUCUUUUUCUAGAAGGUCUGUGAUAUUUAUACUCCUCAAGAAUAACGAAAAUAUCUGUCAGCUGUCAUGUAUUUCUUGAAGAUUAAUAAAGAGUUAAAAAUGGC